rnacentral:tRNA from 1 species
GGAGGUGUAAGUUAAUAUUUAAAAACUGUAUGGUUCAUGUUCAUAUAAUAGGAUAUAUUAUCCUUUCCUCUU